CGCUAGCAUAAACAUGUCUCGUUUGCGAAUAAUUCCCUUAAUCAAAAGUUCAAUUUUUGGAGCUACGCUUCGCUUUGGAGGAUGCGGGAGUGGUUUUCUGAAAGGACCCUAGAGCACUCUGUUUGCAAGUCACUAAGUUCCAGAGCAACGUGCUCCCCGGAAGUGGCGAUGAUGACGAGGAUCUCCCCACCACGGACUUCGAACAACAUUUCCUCGAUGAGAAACAAUUUGGUGCAUGGACCACCGAGUAGCUGCUGACUCAGGCAGGAGC